rnacentral:rRNA from 1 species
GUCGAACGCUGGCGGCGUGCUUAACACAUGCCAGUCGAACGGCAAGGCCCUGCUUUUGUGGGGUGCUCGAGUGGCGCACGGGUGAGUAACACGCGAGUAACCUGCGCUUGACUUUGGAAUAACUUCAGGAAACUGGGGCUAAUACCGGCUAGGAGCUCCUGCUGCCUGGUGGGGGUUGGACAGUUGCGGCGGUUGGGGAUGGACUCGCGGCUUAUCAGCUUGUUGGUGGGGUAGUGGCUUACCAAGGCUUUGACGGGUAGCCGGCCUGGGAGGGGGACCGGCGACAUGGGUACUGCGAGACGGCCCAGAGUCCUACUGUAGGCAGCAGUGGGGAAUAUUGCACAAUGGGCGGAAGCCUGAUGCAGCGACGCCGCGUGUGUGAUGACGGCCUGCGGGGUGUGAAACGCUUUGGCCUGUGACGGUGCGUGAGUGACGGUAAUUGGUAAAGAAGCACCGGCUAACUACGUG